ACAAAUCAGGCAGUGAACACUGCCAUCAUGUGUGUUAGGAGCACACAUGGAGUUUAUCAAGUUCUUAACUUGCUUAAGAUACCACGGGCCUUCCUUCAGAAGGUUUCCAUGGAAACCUCAAAUGAUGUCUAUAGGGGAACAGAAAAAAAGGUUUCCUAAGGUAUGGCUGGAACAGCUCCAUGGAAACGAGCCCUGACUGUCAGAGGAGGUGAAGGAGGCGGUUGUGUGGGAAGGAACUGAGCUGACUGUCAUCUGUGCAAAACAGGAGCCAUGCAGACCAGCCUGGAUCCCUAAUGCUUUCUUUGGCAAAGACAAGGAAGAGCAGAUGUUCAGCUGAGAGAAGUUCACAACGAAUACUACAUGCUGGUUUCCUAUGCUGUACAAUAUAGAAAUUAAAGUGAAAGCCAAUAAAGAUGAUGGCACAG